AGAAAGAUGGUCCAAUGGUUAGUGCAUUAACCUGGGAAUUUAAAAACUUGGGUUCAAUUCCCAUCUUUCCC
rnacentral:tRNA from 1 species